GUAGAAAUCUGGUACCUUCGGUUCCUGCUUUGCAAGCAGGGGGUCGUGGGUUCGAUUCCCAUCCGCUCCA
rnacentral:tRNA from 1 species